CAGAAGUUAUUAUUCUAGAGUAUUGUGAGUAUUUUUCUUGAGUAUAUGAAUAUUUUGAGCGUAGUUUUUCUGCAAGAUUUUCUCAGAAUAAUAUCCGAUAUUCCAGUCAAAUCCAAUUUCUACUAAGGUAAAGGAUAUUUUUUUUUUCAAUACUUAUGAGAAAUAUUAUUUCCUUUCAUACUCCAUAUUAUGUAAGCAAUAUUAUUUCAUCUCGUAUUCUUAAAUUUGAACUUACUAUGGUAAGUAUGGCUUCUAUAAUUCCUGAAAUGAUUAGAAAUUUCGUUUCAUCUAAUAUCAUUUCAUAAGAAUAUUGGUCUGAAUUUUUUAUCAAAUUUAGAACUUGUCAUCACGGGUACUGUUCACGGGUACUGUUCACGGGUACCGUUCACGGUACUGUUCAUGGGUACUGUUCACGGGUACUGUUCACAAAAAAAAAAAUUUCUUUUCUUCCAAAUUAUCUGUUGUGACCCUUAUUCUUAAAGUUUAAUCCAUGUUUUAAUUUUUCACUCAGUCCUAAAUGGUGAUAUAAAUGAAUAUCUUUGGCCUGUAGUGCAAAGAUGAAUGAUUAACUAAUGAAUAUCUUUGGCCCGUAGUGCAAAGAUGAACAGGUGUUGAGAUGAACAUGACCAACUGGUGAUACAAAUGAAUAUCUUUGGCCUGUAGUGCAAAGAUGAUUAAAGAUGUAUAUUGAUUGUUAUUACAGGGAUAAACUAUUGAUGAUGGACUUUUAAACCUUAGAAGACAGUAGAAUUCUUUCUCUACGUGACUCUUCUAAUGGAUUGCUGUUUCCGCUGCAUUUGUUGAUCUAAAACUUGUUGUCUAUUGUAUUCUAUUAGAUUUUUCCCUGUUGAAGACUAACGAUAAUUUGUUGUAUAUUAUCUUAGUCAUAAUAUUCUUUACUGGGCUAGUUGAGCUCACCCUUUUCCUUUUUGUUCCAUUUUUCUUCUCAGGAGGUGAGAACAUAGCAGGAUCGAGUCGGGGUAUGGAGUGAUGGUUCUAGGAAGAUGUUUUAGCUGUCCUCACUAUUUCUGUAAAAUAGUGUAUGAAUAAUUAAUGAGGACUUAUUUGGGUGUGUAUAUUGUCUAGAAGACAAUAUUUGUAUUCAAACUCACAGUUGUAUUGUCGUAUUCUACACGACAUCUGUAUUGUCAAAGUUGUAGUUUGCUUUCUAUACCAUGUAUUUUGGCGACUCAGAAUGGGUGUUGUAUACCUAUUUUGGGGGCGUCACAGUUGGUAUCAGAGCUUAGGGAUAUGAUCUCUGGCGGAGAUCGGGGAAUAGAACUAGGAGGGGAGAGACGAGUAAAUCCUUCGCUAGUGUGUCCUACCUAAGCUUAUUUGUUGGUCGGUCAUAAUAUAGGAUAUUAUGUGAUAUGUUAAUUUGUUUAAUUAACCCUUGUUUUAUGGCAGUAUUUAAGAAUGGCUGCUGAGAACGUUAACAAUGGAGUUUAUGAGACCGUGGAGACGCCGGUACUCACCAACGAGGAGAACGUGCAACAGGCUGGCAAUGUUCCUCCUGUGAACAACGCCACUGAGCAAAUGAUGAACGACGGGAUGUUUAGAAGCUUUUUGCAGUUCAUGCAAAAUCAGACAAGGGAGACUCGUGUACAAAAUACGGGUGGAAAUGAUGGCAAUGCACGGUCUGUCACAGCCAAGCAGUUCAAGGAGUUGGGACCACCAGAUUUCCAUGGAAAGCCGGAUCCGAUCAAGGCAGAAACGUGGGUCAAGCAAAUUACCAAGAUAUUCGAUGUCUUGGGGUGCACGGAGGAACAGAAGGUUCCAUUCGCCACCUUUAUGUUUCGUGGUGAAGCAGAUUACUGGUGGGAAUCUGUGAAGCGUACCCAGCCAGAUGCACUUAACAUGUCUUGGGAAAGAUUUCAGAAACUGUUCAAUGACAAGUACUUUCCAGAAAGUAUUCGUCAUAUGAAGGAGGUAGAGUUUAUUAGACUCGAACAGAACAACAUGACGGUGUCUCAGUACGAGGCAAGGUUCGCAGAAUUAUCCAGGUUUGCACCUCAUUUGGUGGAGAAUGAGGAACGAAUGACGCGUAUGUUUCUGAGAGGUCUAAAACCAGAGAUUCGUCAAUACCUUAUCUCUCAUAAAUUUUCUCUGUAUUCAGAUGUUGUCAACAGGGCUCAGUUAUUAGAGCGAGAUAGUGAGUAUACUCAACCGAGGGACCACAAUCAGGGUAGUCAUCAGAACGAUGAUAACCAGCGAGGAGGAAAGAAUACGGACAAAGGCGGUAACCACUCAGGUGGUAAUCGUGGACAUGAUAAUAGGAGAGGUGACUCAAGUGGAAAUUUCAGAAAGAGAAGAUUCAACAAUGACGGGAAGAUAUCAACGGCAGCACCAGCACCAACAACAAAUGCUAGGGGAGGAGAACGACCGCCAGUUAGAUGUUACAAAUGCGGGAAGGAGGGACAUAUCAGCCCAAACUGUCCACAACAAUCCAAGGUAUGUUACAACUGUGGAAAGGAAGGCCACAUCGCUCGAGAUUGUACUAUCGCGAAACCAAGUUCAGCAGGAGUGGUGAUUCCAAGGGCUGUCCCGGAUAAGUCGAAAUCAGCGGUUCCUGGAAGAGCGUUUGUCGUGACUGGACAAAACGUGAGGAACCCAAACGAGGUGAUCACGGGUAAGCUAAUCUUGAAUUCUUGCGAAGUUUAUACCUUACUAGAUACCGGUUCUACCCAUUCUUUUAUCUCUCCUGCUUGUGCUCAACGUUUAAACUUGACUCCGGAGAAAUUAGAUUUUGAUUUAUCUGUUGAAACUCCGUUGGGUGAAACCUUCGUUACAUCUACAGUUUAUAAAUCUUGCAUGAUCCAAGUUGGCACUAUCACAUUACCUGUUGAUCUUAUCUCUUUAAAGAUACUUGCUUUUGAUGUGAUUUUAGGAAUUGAUUGGUUAACCACUCAUCAUGCCAAAAUUGAUUGUUUUCGUAAGGUUGUUAGUUUUCAUAUUCCUAACCAACCUGUCAUACGAAUUCAAACCACUAAACCACUAAAAUCAGUCACUGUCAUAUCAAGCCAUAAAGCUAUUCGUUUAUUGAAAAACGGAUGUCAAGCUUUCUUAGCCCAUGUUAUGGAUUUGAAUAAAGACAAGUCAGAUUUGAAUAAUAUUUCUGUGGUUAGAGAAUUCCCUGAUGUAUUUCCUGAAGAGCUUCCCGGUCUACCCCCAGAACGUGAUGUUGAAUUCUUUAUUGACCUUGAACCGGGUACAAAGCCCAUUUCUAAAACCCCAUAUCGAAUGGCUCCUAUUGAACUUCAGGAGUUAAAAGUCCAACUACAGGAGUUAUUAGACAUCGGUUUCAUUCGUCCUAGUACGUCUCCUUGGGGUGCUCCUGUUUUAUUCGUAAAGAAGAAAGACGGGAGUAUGCGACUUUGUAUUGACUACCGAGAAUUGAACCAUGUCACCAUCAAGAAUAGGUAUUCGCUACCUCGCAUUGAUGACCUGUUCGACCAGUUACAAGGAGCGCAAUUCUUUUCAAAGAUUGAUCUUCGUUCUGGAUAUCAUCAGCUGAAGAUUAAAACUGAGGAUAUUCCAAAGACGGCAUUCAGGACUCGAUAUAAAUGGUGAUAUAAAUGGUGAUAUAAAUGGUCAUUACUGGUACUGUUCAUGGGUACUGUUCACGAGUACUGUUCACGGGUACUGUUCACGGGUACCGUUCACGGUACUGUUCAUGGGUACUGUUCACAAAAAAAAAAAUUUCUUUUCUUCCAAAUUAUCUGUUGUGACCCUUAUUCAUAAAGUUUAAUCCAUGUUUUAAUUUUUCAUCAUCCUCAGUCCUAAAUGGUGAUAUAAAUGAAUAUCUUUGGCCUGUAGUGCAAAGAUGAAUGAUUAACUAAUGAAUAUCUUUGGCCCGUAGUGCAAAGAUGAACAGGUGUUGAGAUGAACAUGACCAACUGGUGAUACAAAUGAAUAUCUUUGGCUUGUAGUGCAAAGAUGAUUAAAGAUGUAUAUUGAUUGUUAUUACAGGGAUAAACUAUUGAUGAUGGACUUUUAAACCUUAGAAGACAGUAGAAUUCUUUCUCUACGUGACUCUUCUAAUGGAUUGCUGUUUCCGCUGCAUUUGUUGAUCUAAAACUUGUUGUCUAUUGUAUUCUAUUAGAUUUUUCCCUGUUGAAGACUAACGAUAAUUUGUUGUAUAUUAUCUUAGUCAUAAUAUUCUUUACUGGGCUAGUUGAGCUCACCCUUUUCCUUUUUGUUCCAUUUUUCUUCUCAGGAGGUGAGAACAUAGCAGGAUCGAGUCGGGGUAUGGAGUGAUGGUUCUAGGAAGAUGUUUUAGCAGUCCUCACUAUUUCUAUAAAAUAAUAUUUGAAUAAUUGUAAUGAGGACUUAUUUGCGUGUGGAUAUUGUCUAGAAGACAAUAUUUGUAUUUAAACUCACAGUAUGUAUUGUCGUAUUUCACACGACAUUUGUAUUAUUGAAGUUGUAGUUUGUUUUAUGUACCAUGUAUUUGGCGACUCAGAAUGGGUGUUGUAUACCUAUUUUGGGGGCGUCACAUUGCUGUUGUUUUAGUUCAAAUGGUUAAGCACAAAUGAUCGAUAUAGUUUAAAUACAAUUUAACUUUACUGAAUAUAUUUUAAGUGUAAUUUUUUUUGG
rnacentral:lncRNA from 1 species